rnacentral:rRNA from 1 species
GCAGUCGAACGAAGAGGCCCCUUCGGGGGUACUUCAGUGGCGGACGGGUGAGUAACACGUAGGUGACCUACCCCAAAGCGGGGAAUAACAGUCCGAAAGGAUUGCUAAUACCCCAUGUGGUCAAUGAGUCUAGAUGCUUGUUGACUAAAGGAGCAAUCCGUUUUGGGAGGGGCCUGCGCCCCAUCAGCUAGUUGGUAGGGUAAUGGCCUACCAAGGCUACAACGGGUAGGGGGCCUGAGAGGGUGACCCCCCACAUUGGCACUGACACACGGGCCAAACUCCUACGGGAGGCAGCAGUGAGGAAUAUUGCUCAAUGGGCGAAAGCCUGAAGCAGCAACGCCGCGUGCGCGAUGAAGGUCUUCGGAUCGUAAAGCGCUUUUGAGAGGGACGAGAUAGGACGGUACCUCUUGAAUAAGUCACGGCUAACUACGUGCCAGCAGCCGCGGUAAAACGUAGGUGGCAAGCGUUAUCCGGAUUCACUGGGCGUAAAGCGAGUGCAGGUGGUUGUGUAAGUUGGAUGUGAAAUUUCCCAGCCUAACUGGGAAGGGUCAUUCAAUACUGCGCGACUUGAGGGCAGAAGAGGGGGGUGGAAUUGCCGGUGUAGUGGUGAAAUGCGUAGAUAUCGGCAGGAACACCUGUGGCGAAAGCGGCCCCCUGGUCUGAUCCUGACACUCAGACUCGAAAGCUAGGGUAGCGAACGGGAUUAGAAACCCCGGUAGUCCUAGCCGUAAACGAUGGAUGCUAGGUGUGGGUGGUAUUGACCCCAUCCGUGCCGAAGCUAACGCGUUAAGCAUCCCGCC